GGUGAGAUGGCCGAGCGGUCUAAGGCGCCACGUUAAGGUCUAUCCUUGAUUCCGAUCUACUAUCUAGAUUCCGUGGUCCGAAAGGGCGUGGGUUCGAAUCCCACUCUCAUCA